UUUAUCAAUUGGCAGAAUAAAUGCAAUAGACUUAGAUUCUAUAUAUCCUUAA
rnacentral:tRNA from 1 species